rnacentral:rRNA from 1 species
GUGGGGAAUAUUGGACAAUGGGCGCAAGCCUGAUCCAGCAAUGCCGCGUGGGUGAAGAAGGUCUUCGGAUCGUAAAGCCCUUUCGACAGGGACGAUGAUGACGGUACCUGUAGAAGAAGCCCCGGCUAACUUCGUGCCAGCAGCCGCGGUAAUACGAAGGGGGCUAGCGUUACUCGGAAUUACUGGGCGUAAAGGGCGCGUAGGCGGCUCUGUUAGUCAGGCGUGAUAUUCCUGGGCUUAACCUGGGGACUGCGCUUGAUACUGCAGGGCUUGAGGCCGAGAGAGGGUGGUGGAAUUCCCAGUGUAGAGGUGAAAUUCGUAGAUAUUGGGAAGAACACCGGUGGCGAAGGCGACCACCUGGCUCGGUUCUGACGCUGAGGCGCGACAGCGUGGGGAGCAAACAGGAUUAGAAACCCGUGUAGUCC